AAAAUUUUGGUCCUGGAUUUACUGUUAUUUAUUCUAAGCUUAUACAUGCAAGCCUCCGCAUUCCAGUGAAAUAAAGGCAUCAGGGAGCAACCCAAAAACGCCAAGCCACGCCACCUCCACACGGACUAGCAGCAGUAACCAACAUUGGGCAAUGAGUCGCACGCUCGACCAAGCUACUGAAACCAGGGCCGGCAAACUUAUGUGCCAGCCGCCGCGGUCAUACUGAAGGCCCAAAAUAACUAAACCGGCAAAAAUGACUAAAACUUUCUUCAUAGUAAGACAAAAUCGUACACUAACACGUAAAACAAUAGCUGCGAGAAAACCAAAAAUCUUAAUAAUCAGAUGUUUGACUCAUAAAAUAUAAGAAACAAACUAGGAUUAGAUACCCUACUAUGCUUAAUAUAAACUUUGCUCGCCAAAAAAGUAUAGGCAAAAAAGCCAAAAACUUUAAGGACCUGGCGGUACUCUACAUCAAUCUAGAGGGGCCUGUCUAAUAAUCGAUAACCCACGAAAAACCUUACCCCUUCUAGCCCAAUCAGUCUAUAUACCGCCGUCGAAAGCGCAUUUUACAAAAAAUGUAGCCAGAGUUUCAACCACAAACACGUCAGGUCAAGGUGUAGCAUAUGAAGGGGAUAAGAUUGGCCACACUAAGACACCACAAUAAAACAUGAAACACAAAAUGAGAAUUUAGUAGUAAGGUGGCCCAUGAACGUCCGCCUGAACCCCUAAUACCGCCCUUGAGUACGCACACACCGCCCGUCAUCCCCCCUAAUUCAUAUGGGGGGCAAGUCGUAACAUGGUAAGUGCACCAGAAGGUGUACUUAGAAGA
rnacentral:rRNA from 1 species